GUCUACAGCCAAACCACCCUGAACACGCCCGAUCUCAGAAACUAAAUAGGGUCGGGCCUGGUUAGUACUUGGAUGGGAGAGUGAGAAUAUUGGCUGCCUUUGGUG
rnacentral:rRNA from 1 species